rnacentral:ncRNA from 2 species
CUGAACGAUGCGGGAGAGUUCGGGUGAUUCGCAAGAAUUGCCCGGCGCCGAAGGAGCAACCGCCCCGGAAUCUCUCAGGCAAUAAGGACCGUGUCGGUCAA